rnacentral:rRNA from 1 species
AUCGGUACCAAUGGAAUCAGGCUUGUUCUUGAUUUCAAUCGGUUUCUCACCCCAUCUAAGCUCAUGGAGAGGUGUCUAGUCCCAAUUGGAGUCGCUUUGAGUGACGGCUAUGAAAAUUGGGUAUGUUCCCCGUGAGGGUCGAGCAUAGACUUUAUGAACAGUGCUGGAGCUGUCGCCUCACCAAAAAAUCAUCGAUAACUGGUGGCUAUGUGUGACAUUAGUCACAUAGGUAUCUGCUGAUGCAGAGAGCCUUAAUGAGUUGUUCGUGUCAUCUGACCUACAACCGCCAGUAUCGGUAAAUCAACCCAAUUAACUUGUUUCUUGUGUCGUGUUAAUACAUACUGGCAAAGUGUAUUAGCUUUAGCGAUGGAUCGGUUGAUUCGCGUAUCGAUGAAAAACGCAGCAAGCUGCGUUAUUUACCACGAAUUGCAGACGCUUAGAGUGGUGAAGUUUUGAACGCACAGCGCCGUUGGGUUUUCCCUUCGGCACGUCUGGCUCAGGGUUGUUUAAUAAGCGAAAGUGUUGAAAGUUCAUUAAACGAGAGUUCGGUGAUACUGACAACACUACGUCGAGCGGUGUACUGUUGAAAGUACCCCGUUCAAGUAUCUUUAUGGGGCAACAUGUCUUCUAUAUGGAGACAUGAAAGAUAUUAAGAGUAUAUACCUGUGGAUGCCCACGUAUGAAAUAUGACGUGUCGUAUACACGGCUAGGAGGUAUGUCUCAGAUGAAUUUGUUUAUGCAACCUGAGCUCAGUCGUGAUUACCCGCUGAACUAG